GUGAGGAAUAUUGGUCAAUGGACGAGAGUCUGAACCAGCCAAGUAGCGUGAAGGAUGACUGCCCUAUGGGUUGUAAACUUCUUUUAUAAGGGAAUAAAGUGAGGGACGUGUCCCUUUUUGUAUGUACCUUAUGAAUAAGGAUCGGCUAACUCCGUGCCAGCAGCCGCGGUAAUACGGAGGAUCCAAGCGUUAUCCGGAUUUAUUGGGUUUAAAGGGAGCGUAGGUUGACAUAUAAGUCAGCUGUGAAAGUUUACGGCUCAACCGUGAAAUUGCAGUUUAUACUGUAUGUCUUGAGUGUACAAGAGGUGGGCGGAAUUCGUGGUGUAGCGGUGAAAUGCUUAGAUAUCACGAAGAACUCCAAUUGCGAAGGCAGCUCACUGGGGUACAACUGACACUGAGGCUCGAAAGUGUGGGUAUCAAACAGGAUUAGAUACCCUAGUAGUCC
rnacentral:rRNA from 1 species